UACGUAGGUGGCAAGCGUUGUCCGGAUUUACUGGGCGUAAAGGGCGCGUAGGCGGUGCGGUAAGUCACUUGUGAAAUCUCCGAGCUUAACUCGGAACGGCCAAGUGAUACUGCAGUACUAGAGUGCGGAAGGGGCAAUCGGAAUUCUUGGUGUAGCGGUGAAAUGCGUAGAUAUCAAGAGGAACACCUGAGGUGAAGACGGGUUGCUGGGCCGACACUGACGCUGAUGCGCGAAAGCCAGGGGAGCAAACGGG
rnacentral:rRNA from 1 species